rnacentral:rRNA from 1 species
GGUUAACGCUGGCGGCGUGCCUAACACAUGCAAGUCGAACGGUUCUAAGCGCGAGCUUAGGAUAGUGGCGAACGGGUGAGUAAAAGGUAGGAAUCUACCCCUUGGACGGAGAUAGCUACUGGAAACGGUAGGUAAACUUCGAUAAGCCCGAGAGGGGAAAGUGGUGAGACAGCCGAGGGAUGAGCCUACUCUCCAUCAGGUAGUUGGUGAGAUAAAGCUUACCAGGCCGAUGACGGAUAACCGGUGUGAGAGCAUGAACGGUCACAAGGGCACUGAGAGACGGGCCCUACUCCUACGGGAGGCAGCAGUGGGGAAUCUUGGACAAUGGGCGAAAGCCUGAUCCAGCGACGCCGCGUGGAGGAAGAAGUCCUUCGGGAUGUAAACUUCUGAACUAGCCGAAUAAAAGGCCUGUGGACACACAGGAGAAGAAAGUAGGCUAGGAAAAGUCCCGGCUAACUACGUG